rnacentral:rRNA from 1 species
GAUGAACGCUAGCGGCAGGCUUAACACAUGCAAGUCGAGGGGUAUUGGUUUUCGGACCAAGAGACCGGCGCACGGGUGCGUAACGCGUAUGCAAUCUACCUUUUGCAGAGGGAUAGCCCCAGAGAAAUUUGGAUUAAUACCUCAUAGUAUAGUACUUUGGCAUCAAGGAACUAUUAAAGUCACAACGGCAAAAGAUGAGCAUGCGUCCCAUUAGCUAGUUGGUAAGGUAACGGCUUACCAAGGCUACGAUGGGUAGGGGUCCUGAGAGGGAGAUCCCCCACACUGGUACUGAGACACGGACCAGACUCCUACGGGAGGCAGCAGUGAGGAAUAUUGGACAAUGGGGCGCAAGCCUGAUCCAGCCAUGCCGCGUGCAGGAUGACGGUCCUAUGGAUUGUAAACUGCUUUUUAUACAGGAAGAAACACUACUUCGUGAAGUAGCUUGACGGUACUGUAAGAAUAAGGAUCGGCUAACUCCGUGCCAG